rnacentral:rRNA from 1 species
AGUGAACGCUGGCGGUAGGCCUAACACAUGCAAGUCGAACGGCAGCACAGUAAGAGCUUGCUCUUACGGGUGGCGAGUGGCGGACGGGUGAGGAAUACAUCGGAACCUACUUUUUCGUGGGGGAUAACGUAGGGAAACUUACGCUAAUACCGCAUACGACCUACGGGUGAAAGCAGGGGAUCUUCGGACCUUGCGCGAUUGAAUGAGCCGAUGUCGGAUUAGCUAGUUGGCGGGGUAAAGGCCCACCAAGGCGACGAUCCGUAGCUGGUCUGAGAGGAUGAUCAGCCACACUGGAACUGAGACACGGUCCAGACUCCUACGGGAGGCAGCAGUGGGGAAUAUUGGACAAUGGGCGCAAGCCUGAUCCAGCCAUACCGCGUGGGUGAAGAAGGCCUUCGGGUUGUAAAGCCCCUUUGUUGGGAAAGAAAAGCAGCAGGUUAAUACCCCGCUGUUCUGACGGUACCCAAAGAAUAAGCACCGGCUAACUUCGUG